GAGAUAUUGAACAUUAAUUUUUAUAGAAAAUGAGAUCAUAAUUUCGAAAUCUUGAAAUAUUGAAAAUUUUUGAGAUGUUGAUCUUGAUAAAUAAGAAAAUGAAUGGUUCCAUUUCAGAUAGAUAUUUGAUGUACCGACUUUUUUCUUAUGAAAUAAUUUAAGAAUGAAUUUACAUUAAGAAUUAGAAUAUUAAAAUAUUUGUGGAUGAGAUUCAAGUAAGAAACUAUGAAGACUCAAGCAAAAAAAAUUUCGAGG
rnacentral:lncRNA from 1 species